UCAUUGAAUGGCUGAAAAUUUAAGCAAUGGUCUCUUAAACCAAUUUAUAGUAUUUAUACUUUCAAUGAA
rnacentral:tRNA from 1 species